CCCCCGCAUGAAACAAAAUAGGAGGGGUAGUUUAGUUAUUUUGGUUUCCUAUAUAAAGGAACCUAUUUUUACUUCUUCUUGUGGUCUAGGGUUUUUAUUCCCAAAAAUUUACAGGUUUUUCGAUCUAGGGUUUUGCAAUCCCUUGUGCUCUUUCGAUGGCUAUUUCUGAAUCUAAGGAUCAGGUGAUUCAGUUCUUGAAUUCUCAAUUUUUAGACGACGAGAAAUGGCCCUUUACCAAGAAUGUACUAUGGGCUUUCGGGUUGUUUGUCACUUCAGCGGUUGUAAUGCACAAAUAUGGGGAACAGCUGGCAAUAUGAAGCUGGUGUGGUAGCAACAGGUCUCUCUUGUGGGGAUUGACUUUAGGCUAGGCGACUGGACUGGAAAUGAUAGCAGAUGACAUUCAGGUGAUUUACUAAGAGAUUGAACGAAAUCUUCAGAAUUUGUCAGUGAGCAAAUCUUUUUCUGUUUUUGGUAAUGGAAGUAGCUUUGUUAUGGUAUUUUCUUAGAAUGAAACAUUACUUCGAGAGGUUUUCAAGAAUGAGUUCAUACUUUGGUUUUCAAGAAUGAGUUCAUACUUUGGCUACGUAAACAUUUUUCUGGACACAUGUGAAUCAACGAAUACAAAAGAUUUCAUUGUAUCUGUCACUUGAACAUCUCAUAAAAGAAUUGGAUGCAAGCCUCAAGUCAGCUGGGCCGAAGUUUUCAUUGAGUCAA